UGGGGAAUAUUGGACAAUGGGCGCAAGCCUGAUCCAGCCAUGCCGCGUGAGUGACGAAGGUCUUCGGAUUGUAAAGCUCUUUUGGCGGGGACGAUAAUGACGGUACCCGCAGAAUAAGCCCCGGCUAACUUCGUGCCAGCAGCCGCGGUAAUACGAAGGGGGCUAGCGUUGUUCGGAAUCACUGGGCGUAAAGCGCACGUAGGCGGAUGUGUCAGUCAGGGGUGAAAUCCCGGAGCUCAACUUCGGAACUGCCUCUGAUACAGCACGUCUUGAGUUCGAGAGAGGUGGGUGGAAUUCCUAGUGUAGAGGUGAAAUUCGUAGAUAUUAGGAAGAACACCGGUGGCGAAGGCGGCCCACUGGCUCGAUACUGACGCUGAGGUGCGAAAGCGUGGGGAGCAAACAGGAUUAGAUACCCCUGUAGUCC
rnacentral:rRNA from 1 species